UCUGCAGGUGGUUUUUUAAGUCUGAUGUUAAAACUCGAGGCUCAACCUCGAUCCAGCAUUGGAAACUGAAAGACUUGAGUAUAGUAGGGAUAGAGGGAAUUUCCAGUGGAGCGGUGAAAUGCGUAGAUAUUGGAAAGAACACCGAUGGCGAAAGCACUCUAUUGGGCUAUUACUGACACUCAGAGACGAAAGCUAGGGGAGCGAAUG
rnacentral:rRNA from 1 species